CAAUUCUCCUGCUCUUGUGACCCUUCUCAUUUGAUUCCAAAGAAAGGAGCCGUGCAACCUUUUGGGCCUAGCAUUUUGUCAAAUAAAUGGAGGGCUUUCAUACAGACGUGAUAACAUAGUGAUACAAUACAAUCAUUCUUAGACUGCUAAGCUUCUCUUCAAAUUUUGUAAUUCGUAGUUCCAACUGCCAUGAUGCAACCCCAUAUGAAUCCCCUACAAUAGCAUCAAGAGCAACAAUAUGCACACAAACAAAAAUGCACUUUGAGCAGAACCAUGGCUAGCUUGCCUGGCACAACCUCCAGCUUUGUCCAUCACAGCCCGGAUGAGGAAAUGCUUUAUAGAU